rnacentral:misc_RNA from 1 species
CAACCUACAAAGUUGUUGUUGCAACUUUGUUUGGCUUGGAUCUGGAGGCUUUGCUGGCUUGCUCUGAGUUCAGCUCCUCUUAAAUGCAUUAGCUUGGUUCCUUGUGGAUCAGCUCUCGGUGUGAUAAAUUGUCUAUGCCGUGACUGUGAAGCGUUUGGCGAGCUUAUAA